rnacentral:rRNA from 1 species
CAGUAGCCGCGGGAAUACAGAGGCCUCAAGCGUUGUUCGGAUUCAUUGGGCGUAAAGGGAGCGUAGGCGGUCGGGUAAGUUGGAUGUGAAAUCCUGGGGCACAACCUCAGAACUGCAUUCAAUACUGCUUGGCUAGAGUACUGGAGAGGUGAGUGGAAUUCACGGUGUAGCAGUGAAAUGCGUAGAUAUCGUGAGGAAGACCAGCGGCGAAGGCGGCUCACUGGACAGUUACUGACGCUGAUGCUCGAAGGCCAGGGGAGCAAACGGGAUUAGAUACCCCCGUAGUCCCUGUCUCUUAUAA